GAAGAAGAAGGUUCGGAAGUAGGGUGAUAACUUCUAUGAGGUUUCGUUUAGCUAUGAAAGAGUUCCCGUGGCGUGUUAUUUGUGUGGGAUUAUAGGACAUAGCGAGCUGAACUACCGGAAAAUGCUUGAUAUGCCAAACGGAAUCAUGGUUAGGGAGUAACCGGAGGAAAUCCUGGCGGAGGCUCGUCGACAGCCACGGAAAUCGCC
rnacentral:lncRNA from 1 species